AUUGAACGCUGGCGGCAGGCCUAACACAUGCAAGUCGAGCGGAUGAAGGGAGCUUGCUCCUGGAUUCAGCGGCGGACGGGUGAGUAAUGCCUAGGAAUCUGCCUGGUAGUGGGGGAUAACGUCCGGAAACGGGCGCUAAUACCGCAUACGUCCUGAGGGAGAAAGUGGGGGAUCUUCGGACCUCACGCUAUCAGAUGAGCCUAGGCCGGAUUAGCUAGUUGGUGGGGUAAGGGCCUACCAAGGCGACGAUCCGUAACUGGUCUGAGAGGAUGAUCAGUCACACUGGAACUGAGACACGGUCCAGACUCCUACGGGAGGCAGCAGUGGGGAAUAUUGGACAAUGGGCGAAAGCCUGAUCCAGCCAUGCCGCGUGUGUGAAGAAGGUCUUCGGAUUGUAAAGCACUUUAAGUUGGGAGGAAGGGCAGUAAGUUAAUACCUUGCUGUUUUGACGUUACCAACAGAAUAAGCACCGGCUAACUUCGUG
rnacentral:rRNA from 1 species